rnacentral:rRNA from 1 species
GACGAACGCUGGCGGCGUGCUUAACACAUGCAAGUCGAACGGAAAGGCCCUGCUUUUGUGGGGUGCUCGAGUGGCGAACGGGUGAGUAACACGUGAGUAACCUGCCCUUGACUUUGGGAUAACUUCAGGAAACUGGGGCUAAUACCGGAUAGGAGCUCCUGCUGCAUGGUGGGGGUUGGAAAGUUUCGGCGGUUGGGGAUGGACUCGCGGCUUAUCAGCUUGUUGGUGGGGUAGUGGCUUACCAAGGCUUUGACGGGUAGCCGGCCUGAGAGGGUUACCGGCGACAUGGGGACUGAGAGACGGACCAGACUCGUACGGGAGGCAGCAGUGGGGAAUAUUGCACAAUGGGCGGAAGCCUGAUGCAGCAACGCCGCGUGCGGGAUGACGGCCUUCGGGUUGUAAACCGAUUUCGCAUGUGACGAAGAGUGAGUGACGGUAAUGGGUAAAGAAGCACCGGCUAACUACGUG